UACGAAGGGGGCUAGCGUUGUUCGGAUUUACUGGGCGUAAAGCGCGCGCAGGCCUUGCAAGUCGAGGGUGAAAUCCCAGAGCUCAACUCUGGAAUUGCCUUCGAGACUGCUUGGCUUCGAGUACGGGAGAGGUGAGUGGAAUUCCCAGUGUAGAGGUGAAAUUCGUAGAUAUUGGGAAGAACACCGGUGGCGAAGGCGGCUCACUGGCCCGUUACUGACGCUCAGGCGCGACAGCGUGGGGAUCAAACAGG
rnacentral:rRNA from 1 species